AAACGACUCUCGGCAACGGAUAUCUCGGCUCUCGCAUCGAUGAAGAACGUAGCGAAAUGCGAUACUUGGUGUGAAUUGCAGAAUCCCGUGAACCAUCGAGUCUUUGAACGCAAGUUGCGCCCCAAGCCCUCGGGCCGAGGGCACGUCUGCCUGGGUGUCACGCACCGUCGCCCCCCCAACCCCCGGUCUCGGGGGACCUGCGGGGGGCGGAGAAUGGCCUCCCGUUAGCUCUCGCUCGCGGUUGGCCCGAAUUCGAGUCCUCGGCGACCGCGUCGCGACCUUCGGUGGUGAGAACAAGCCUCUCGAGCUCAGGUCGCGCCCGCGUCCCCGCGAUGAGGGCUCCAGGACCCCCCGGCGCCCGCCCCUCGUUCGGGCGGCGCUCGCUUCGCGACCCCAGGUCAGGCGGGAGUACCCGCUGAGUUUAAGCAUAUCAAUAAGCGGAGGAAAAGAAACUUACCAGGAUUCCCCUAGUAACGGCGAGCGAACCGGGAAGAGCCC
rnacentral:rRNA from 1 species